AUGGCUGUGAUUGGUCACGCUGGCUUCCCGUAUUGCGUCGUGAGUGACACGCGGCAAGAGUUUCCGUAUCCUGUGUGUAACAGAAAUCAUAACGGACUAUUGUCGUGUUCCGAUAUUCACUACGAGAAAGGAAGAAAGCACGUUAUUGUUCUUACAUCGCGUUCGCUAACACGUGUCCGGAAUUUAGAGCGAAAUUCGACAUGACCUUUGUAAAUUUGUCUUGUCAAGAGAGAGAAAGGAUAACGAGCUCUAACCUCCGGAAAGAAAGUAAAUAGUGUUACGGAAUUCUAUCAGUCAGACCUUCCCGUCAGCAUAAAACAAGGAAAGAGAAGAAGAAGAAGACGAUAAGCUGUGAAGAUACAUUCUGUAGGACAUACAGUUUCUUGUCGCUUCCUACAGUCCCAUUUUUUUCACACAGAGGAGGGUGAAGGAGAGAGGAUCUUGCGUAGUCACAUUGGAACAUUUACGACUGCAUCAACAAGAGAGAUAAAAUAAAAAAAAAAGGAUGCCAAAACAGCUACAUUUAUUGUCUAAAAGAAGAAGAUUUCAAUUAAUUAACAAUGAACUGGCACAUCAUAGUAGUUCCUUCCUGUCUAGAAAAGUAGAAUCAGUAAAA